AUACCCCGGUAGUNCACGCCGUAAACGAUGCAAACUAGGUAUAGGAACUAUCGACCGUUCUUGUACCGAAGCUAACGCGUUAAGUUUGCUGCCUGGGGAAUACGGUCGCAAGACUAAAACUCAAAGGAAUUGGCGGGGGCUUGCACAAGCGGUGGAACAUGGGGUUUAAUUCGACAGUAAGCGGAGAACCUCACCAAGGAUUGACAUCUAUGGAAUCCUGAUGAAAGUCGGGAGUGCCCGCAAGGGAGCCAUAAGACAGGUACUGCACGGUCGUCGUCAGCUCGUGGCAUGAGUUGUUCCGUUAAGUCGGGAAACGAGCGCAACCCUUAUUGUCUGUUGAAUUUUUCAGGCAAGACUGCCCUCGUAAGAGGGAGGAAGGUGGGGAUGACGUCAGAUCAGCGUGGUCUUUAUACCUUGGGCUACACCCGUGUUACAAUGGCUGCUACAAAGGGUCGCAAGAGCGUGAGCUGGAGCUAAUCCCUAAAAGCAGUCCAAGUUCGGAUCGAAGUCUGAAACUCGACUUCGUGAAGUUGGAAUCGCUAGUAACCGUGGAUCAUAACGCCACG
rnacentral:rRNA from 1 species